CACAGAUCUUCCUAGCUCCAUUUUCAGAUGUGGAAACUGAAGCAGAGGGAGGUUAAGUAACUUGCUCAAGUUGCACAGCUAAGAAGUGGUAGAGGUGGGAUUUGUACC
rnacentral:pre_miRNA from 1 species